rnacentral:rRNA from 1 species
UAGGGAAUCUUCGGCAAUGGACGAAAGUCUGACCGAGCAACGCCGCGUGAGUGAAGAAGGUUUUCGGAUCGUAAAACUCUGUUGUUAGAGAAGAACAAGGACGUUAGUAACUGAACGUCCCCUGACGGUAUCUAACCAGAAAGCCACGGCUAACUACGUGCCAGCAGCCGCGGUAAUACGUAGGUGGCAAGCGUUGUCCGGAUUUAUUGGGCGUAAAGCGAGCGCAGGCGGUUUCUUAAGUCUGAUGUGAAAGCCCCCGGCUCAACCGGGGAGGGUCAUUGGAAACUGGGAGACUUGAGUGCAGAAGAGGAGAGUGGAAUUCCAUGGGUAGCGGUGAAAUGCGUAGAUAUAUGGAGGAACACCGGUGGCGAAGGCGGGUCUCUGGUCUGUAACUGACGCUGAGGCUCGAAAGCGUGGGGAGCAAACAGG